AGGUUUGGCUGGCGAUUAGAAGAAGGCCAUGAAAGAUGGGAAGCCAAUUAUUAUUGAGGGAAUACAUUUGGAUCCAAGCAUUUAUCUUAUGGAUGAGGAAAAGAGAGAUGAUAAUUCCAGGACAGGGAAAACGAUACCGGAUUCUAAAAAUUCAGGCAUCUCUGUAGAAAGGAAGACAGAACA